GUACCAAUAAUGAGGAUAGUGUCCUUUGGGUAACUGGUUGUGAUGGUUUUUCCGGUAAUCCUAUUCUUCUUGGGCACAUUUUCGAAAACCACUACCAGUCACUCCAGCCAAAAGGUGACAGUGGCAAACUUGAUCACCACACGAAUGAUAAGCAUGCAACAAAUGAUGAUAACCUUUUUAUUCCUGUUGAUGUGUGCAACGAAGAACUCAGCAACUAUAACAUGACACAUGAUGUUGAAGAUAUGCCAUUCGUAGAGUUUGUGAGAUCCACCUUCAUCAAAAAACGGAAAAAUGGUACUGAUUGCAUUGUUAGACGUUUAAGAAAUGAAGUGGACAACGAAGACGUCAUAACCAAGCAUUUAAUGGAUAUAACAAUCACAGGG